rnacentral:rRNA from 1 species
GAUGAACGCUGGCGGCGUGCCUAGUACAUGCAAGUCGAGCGAACAGACGAGGAGCUUGCUCCUCUGACGUUAGCGGCGGACGGGUGAGUAACAUGUGGAUAACCUACCUAUAAGACUGGGAUAACUUCGGGAAACCGGAGCUAAUACCGGAUAAUAUAUUGAACCGCAUGGUUCAAUAGUGAAAGACGGUUUUGCGGUCACUUAUAGAUGGAUCCGCGCCGCAUUAGCUAGUUGGUAAGGUAACGGCUUACCAAGGCAACGAUGCGUAGCCGACUUGAGAGGGUGAUCGGCCACACUGGAACUGGGCCACGGUCCAUGCUCCUACGGGCGGCAGCAGUAGGGAAUCUUCCGCAAUGGGCGAAAGCUUGACGGAGCAAGGCCGCGUGAGUGAUGAAGGUCUUCGGAUCGUAAAACUCUGUUAUUAGGGAAAAACAAAUGUGUAAGUAACUAUGCACGUCUUGACGGUACCUAAUCAGAAAGCCACGGCUAACUACGUG